rnacentral:rRNA from 1 species
UACGUAGGUGGCGAGCGUUGUCCGGAAUUACUGGGUGUAAAGGGCGUGUAGGCGGGAUGGCAAGUCAGAUGUGAAAUUCCCAGGCUUAACCUGGGCGCUGCAUCUGAAACUGUUGUUCUUGAGUGCCGGAGAGGAAAGCGGAAUUCCUAGUGUAGCGGUGAAAUGCGUAGAUAUUAGGAGGAACACCAGUGGCGAAGGCGGCUUUCUGGACGGUAACUGACGCUGAGGCGCGAAAGCGUGGGGAG